rnacentral:misc_RNA from 1 species
AACGCACAUUGCGCCUCUUGGUAUUCCAGGAGGCACGCCUGUCCGAGCGCCAUUAUCGCCACCCAAGCCUAGCUUGAUGUUGGUCGAUAUGCUGGUAACAAAGCAUACGACUGGAACGAAUUGGCGUCCUGUUAUGGAUCUCCGAGUGUGACAAAAACAAAUCACUUGGUGUAGAAGUAACGGGGUAGCUCUCACAACCAACCUACAUGAUGUCGUAAUAAGCAUUGUGUGUCACGGGUUGGCCUCGGAUCAGGCGGGGAUACCCGCUGAACUUAA